UUUCAACAACGGAUCUCUUGGUUCUGGCAUCGAUGAAGAACGCAGCGAAAUGCGAUAAGUAAUGUGAAUUGCAGAAUUCAGUGAAUCAUCGAAUCUUUGAACGCACAUUGCGCCCUCUGGUAUUCCGGAGGGCAUGCCUGUUCGAGCGUCAUUU
rnacentral:rRNA from 2 species